CCCGCAGGGCUCCUGGGACAUGGAGGGAGACAUGUUGAAGGGGGUUUUCAACAGAAAGGACAAUGGAAAAGUACUGACAACAACCAGAAUUGUCCAAGGAGAUGAACUUAUACAGAGCUACAACUAUGAAGGUGUGGACGCAAAGAGGAUUUUCAAGAGGGGUUAGAUCCAACUGAUCACCAGAACUUUAAUGUGACAUGUUUAACUUCAGGAUUACUUACAGUAGUGUGUUGAAUUACCAACUAAUUAUACCAAUACAGCCUUUGAAAAGUGUGCAACUUGCCUGUACAGUGUAUGAAUCAGUUUUGAAUUGCACGGGAUUUUGAUACUUGCAGUAAUAAAGCCAUACUGUGACUGCC